rnacentral:rRNA from 1 species
AACGAACGCUGGCGGCAGGCUUAACACAUGCAAGUCGAACGCAUCCUUCGGGGUGAGUGGCAGACGGGUGAGUAACGCGUGGGAACGUGCCCUUCAGUUCGGGAUAACCCAGGGAAACUUGGGCUAAUACCGGAUACGUGCGAGAGCAGAAAGAUUUAUCGCUGAAGGAUCGGCCCGCGUAUGAUUAGCUAGUUGGUGGGGUAAUGGCCCACCAAGGCGACGAUCAGUAGCCGGUCUGAGAGGAUGAUCAGCCACAUUGGGACUGAGACACGGCCCAAACUACUACGGGAGGCAGCAGUGGGGAAUAUUGGACAAUGGGCGCAAGCCUGAUCCAGCCAUGCCGCGUGAGUGAUGAAGGCCUUAGGGUUGUAAAGCUCUUUCGUCCGGGACGAUAAUGACGGUACCGGAAGAAGAAGCCCCGGCUAACUUCGUGCCAGCAGCCGCAGUAA